GUACCCGCUGAACUUAAGCAUAUCAAUAAGCGGAGGAAAAGAAACCAACAGGGAUUGCCUCAGUAACGGCGAGUGAAGCGGCAACAGCUCAAAUUUGAAAUCUGGCCUCUUUGGGGUCCGAGUUGUAAUUUGUAGAGGAUGUUUCGGGUACCGCCUCGGUUUAAAUUUCUUGGAACAGAAUGUCAGAGAGGGUGAGAAUCCCGUCUUGGACCGGCGGUAGGGCCCAUGUGAAACUCCUUCGACGAGUCGAGUUGUUUGGGAAUGCAGCUCAAAAUGGGUGGUAAAUUUCAUCUAAAGCUAAAUAUUGGCCAGAGACCGAUAGCGCACAAGUAGAGUGAUCGAAAGAUGAAAAGCACUUUGAAAAGAGAGUUAAACAGUAUGUGAAAUUGUUGAAAGGGAAGCGCUUACAACCAGACUUGAGCGCGGCGGUUCCCCCUUCCUUCUGGUUGGGUUACUCCGCCGUGUCCAGGCCAACAUCGGUUCUGGGGGUCGGUUAAAGACCUUGGGAAUGUACCUACCCUUCGGGCGUAGACUUAUAGCCCAGGGUGUCAUGCGGCCUCCCGGGACCGAGGAACGCGCUUCGGCUCGGAUGUUGGCGUAAUGGUUGCCAGCGACCCGUCUUGAAACACGGACC
rnacentral:rRNA from 1 species